rnacentral:rRNA from 1 species
AGAGUUUGAUUCUGGCUCAGGAUGAACGCUAGCUACAGGCUUAACACAUGCAAGUCGAGGGGCAGCAUGAGAUUAGCUUGCUAAUCUGAUGGCGACCGGCGCACGGGUGCGUAACACGUAUCCAAUCUACCCAUGGCUCGGGGAUAGCCUUUCGAAAGAAAGAUUAAUACCCGAUGGUCUGCGAUUGAGACAUCUCGAUUGCAGUAAAGACUUGUCGGCGAUGGAUGGGGAUGCGUCCGAUUAGCUAGUUGGCGGGGUAACGGCCCACCAAGGCGACGAUCGGUAGGGGUUCUGAGAGGAAGGUCCCCCACACUGGAACUGAGACACGGUCCAGACUCCUACGGGAGGCAGCAGUGAGGAAUAUUGGUCAAUGGUCGGGAGACUGAACCAGCCCAAGUAGCGUGAGGGACGACGGCCCUACGGGUUGUAAACCUCUUUUGUAUGGGAAUAAAGUGAGGCACGUGUGCCUUUUUGUAUGUACCUUACGAAUAAGCAUCGGCUAAUUCCGUGCCAGCCGCGGC